CCUACGGGCGGCAGCAGUAGGGAAUAUUGCACAAUGGGGGAAACCCUGAUGCAGCGACGCCGCGUGAAGGAAGAAGUAUUUCGGUAUGUAAACUUCUAUCAGCAGGGAAGAAAAUGACGGUACCUGACUAAGCAUCCACGGCUAACUACGUGCCAGCAGCCGCGGUAAUACGUAGGGGGCAAGCGUUAUCCCGAUUUACUGGGUGUAAAGGGAGCGUAGGCGGUUUAGCAAGUCAGAAGGGAAAGCCCGGGGCUCAACUCAGGGACUGCUUUUGAAACUGUGGAACUGGAUUGCAGGAGAGGUAAGUGGAAUUCCUAGUGUAGCGGUGAAAUGCGGAGAUAUUAGGAGGAACACCAGUGGCGAAGGCGGCUUACUGGACUGUAAAUGACGCUGAGGCUCGAAAGCGUGGGGAGCAAACAGGAUUAGAUACCCCGGUAGUC
rnacentral:rRNA from 1 species